GUGUCAGCCGCCGCGGUAAUACAGAGGUCCCAAGCGUUGUUCGGAUUCACUGGGCGUAAAGGGUGCGUAGGUGGUCGGGUAAGUCUGAUGUGAAAUCUCCAAGCUCAACUUGGAAACUGCAUCGGAUACUAUUCGGCUCGAGGGUUGGAGGGGGGACUGGAAUGCUUGGUGUAGCAGUGAAAUGCGUAGAUAUCAAGCGGAACACCAGUGGCGAAGGCGAGUCCCUGGACAACUCCUGACACUGAGGCACGAAAGCUAGGGGAGCAAACAGGAUUAGAUACCCCCGUAGUCC
rnacentral:rRNA from 1 species